rnacentral:rRNA from 1 species
UACGUAGGGUGCGAGCGUUAAUCGGAAUUACUGGGCGUAAAGCGUGCGCAGGCGGUUUGUUAAGACAGGUGUGAAAUCCCCGGGCUCAACCUGGGAAUUGCGCUUGUUACUGGCAAGCUAGAGUGUGUCAGAGGGAGGUAGAAUUCCACGUGUAGCAGUGAAAUGCGUAGAGAUGUGGAGGAAUACCGAUGGCGAAGGCAGCCUCCUGGGAUAACACUGACGCUCAUGCACGAAAGCGUGGGGAGCAAACAGGAUUAGAAACCCCAGUAGUCC